rnacentral:misc_RNA from 1 species
AUGGGCCAUGGCAUGAAAAGGAUAGCCAAGUAAACAAGACAACACAAAUAGAUCUCAUCUCCAACAUAGCCAUUUCAGAAUAGUUCACCGUCUAAGGAUGAUCAUAUAGAGGAAAACAAAAGAAGAAAACCAGCGGCUGCUUCUUCAAUAACAAGAGCAGCAAGAAUAACUUAGGCAAUCAUCACGAGCAACAACUACUAGCUGGAACGUCCUGUGGAGGUUUCUGUUUGAAGAUGUUCUUUGUCACACUGCUUGAACCUUCGGCCAACAGACUUGGUGUUUCUAAAAUCUUUAAAACAAGCUCNNNNNUUGACUCUAGUUUUUGCACUACAUUCAAGAAACAGGCAUCCAUAGUCCCUGGCAAAGUCAAGCCCCUCCUUUUUGGUGACAACCCUUUCACUUUCCUUAUCAACUUUAUUGCCGACAAGCAUCUUGAUGCAAUCCUGGUUUGUUGAAUAUAGAUCAAUUUCUUUAGCCCAUAUUUCAGAUAGAUUUGUGAAUGUUUCUCGUCUUGUUACAUCAUAUACCAUUAUCAUCCCCUGAGCUCCUCUGUAGUAAGAACUAGUAAGCGUUCUAAAUCUCUCCUGUCCAGCUGUGUCCCAAAUUGCAAGUUUCAACUUUUUCCCACCUAUGGUAACAUGCUUUACCUUAAAAUCCACACCAAUUGUAGGAGAGAGAUCCUCAAAAGUCUUGGAAGUGAAACUCAAUAGCAGACUACUCUUCCCCACACCAGAAUCCCCAAUCAACAACAGCUUGAACAAGUAGUCAAACUCUGGCUGACUUGAAGACGAUUCCAUUUGCAACCCAAUAAUCCCAAAAACAAAUUCUCCUGGAAAUUGAUUAAAGGGAAGAUUGUGUUAGAUCCGAAGUUACACGUUUUGGUAUAGGAAGGAAGAGUAUAGAUAUGGAGAGCGAGAAAAGGGAAAGGAGAGAUUGCAGAGAGACAAAGGAAGCUCUAAAGUCUUCUUCUUUCUUUCUUGUAAGUUGUAAUGGCUGUUUUCAUUUGUGCGCAGGUUGCUUUGCUUGUGCCAGCAAGUAAUGGUUUUGGUACGGUGAUACAAGGACUAUUUGUUUACAUUGUU